CAGAUACUCCCUCCGUCCAACAAAAAAUGUCUCAAGUUUGUCAAAUUUAGAUGUAUCUAGACAUGACUUAGUGUAUAGAUGCAUUCAAAUUCGAUCAAAGUUGAGACAUCCUUUGUUGGACGGAGGGAGUACUAU
rfam:Brachypodium distachyon strain Bd21 chromosome 4, whole genome shotgun sequence.